UACGUAGGGUGCGAGCGUUGUCCGGAAUUAUUGGGCGUAAAGAGCUUGUAGGCGGUUUGUCGCGUCUGCUGUGAAAAUCCGGGGCUCAACCCCGGACUUGCAGUGGGUACGGGCAGACUGGAGUGUGGUAGGGGAGACUGGAAUUCCUGGUGUAGCGGUGGAAUGCGCAGAUAUCAGGAGGAACACCGAUGGCGAAGGCAGGUCUCUGGGCAUUAACUGACGCUGAGGAGCGAAAGCAUGGGGAGCGAACAGG
rnacentral:rRNA from 1 species